rnacentral:rRNA from 1 species
ACGCUCGACACCUACAGGAGGCAGCAGGUGGGGAAUAUUGCACAAUGGGGGAAACCCUGAUGCAGCAACGCCGCGUGAAGGAAGACGGUUUCGGAUUGUAAACUUCUGUUCUUAGUGAAGAUAGUGACGGUAGCUAAGGAGCAAGCCACGGCUAACUACGUGCCAACAGCCGCGGUAAUCUGAGCGGGCUGGCAAGGC